CAGCUCUCCGAGUGGUAGGGAUGAUUAUUGGGCCUAAAGCGUCCGUAGCCGGCUUAGCAAGUCUCCUGUUAAAUUCAGCGACCUAAUCGUUGAGCCGCGGGAGAUACUACUAGGCUAGGAGGCGGGAGAGGCCGACGGUACUUCCGGGGUAGGGGUGAAAUCCUAUAAUCCCGGGCGGACCACCAGUGGCGAAGGCUGUCGGCUAGAACGCGCUCGACGGUGAGGGACGAAAGCUGGGGGAGCGAACCGGAUUAGAUACCCGAGUAGUCC
rnacentral:rRNA from 1 species